GUGGUGGGACUCAGACUGCACGUUACAAGUGAAGAAAAUCUGUCAAAGUCUCGGAUUGAAGAACUCGUGAUUAUAAAACUCCAGGAAGAAUUUAAAAGACGUGGACUUCCCAGUAACUUCACCAUGAGUCUGAGAAACUAUCGCAAAAUCGCUCCAUAAGAAAUUACAGCAAACACACA